GGAUUCCCCUAGUACGGCGAGUGAACAGGGAUCAGCUCACAUUUCCAAUCUGCCUCCUUCCCCGCAGAGUUGUAAUCUAGAGAAGUGUUUUCGGUGGCGGACCAUGCAUAAGUCUCCUGGAAUGGAGCGUCCCAGAGGGUGACAAUCCCGUCUAUGGCAUGGACUCCCGUUGCUCUGUGAUACACUCUCCACGAGUCGAGUUGUUUGGGAAUGCAGCUCCAAAUGGGUGGUAAAUGCCAUCUAAAGCUAAAUACCGGCGAGAGACCGAUAGCGAACAAGUACCGUGAGGGAAAGAUGAAAAGCACUUUGGAAAGAGAGUGAAACAGUACGUGAAAUUGUUGAAAGGGAAACGCUUGAAGUCAGUCACACCGGAGGGAUUCAGCCUUGCUUCUGCAUCGUGUACUUCCCUUCAGGUGGGUCAACAUCAGUUUCGAACAGAGCAAAAAGCCAGGGGGAAUGUGGCAGCUUCCGCUGUGUUAUAGCCCCCUGCUGUAUACUUUGUUUGGGACUGAGGACAGCAGCAUGCCUUAUGGCUGGGGUUCGCCCACAUACAUGCUUAGGAUGUUGGCAGAAUGGCUCUAAGCGACCCGUCUUGAAACACGGACCAAGGAGUCUACCAUGUGCGCGAGUGUUUGGGUUCCAAACUCGGACGCGAAACGAAAGUAACAAGUUGGGAACACGCANGUGUGCACCGACGCCCAGAGCACAUCUUCUGUGACGCAUCUGCGGUAGAGCGCAUCUGGUGGGACCCGAAAGAUGGUGAACUAUGCCUGAAUAGGGUGAAGCCAGAGGAAACUCUGGUGGAGGCUCGUAGCGAUUCUGACGUGCAAAAUCGAUCGAA
rnacentral:rRNA from 1 species